rnacentral:rRNA from 1 species
AGAGUUUGAUCCUGGCUCAGGAUGAACGCUGGCGGCGUGCCUAACACAUGCAAGUCGAGCGGUAUAUAUCUAAACAAAACUUCGGUCUAGUGAGGGUAUAGAGAGCGGCGGACGGGUGAGUAACGCGUAGGCAACCUGCCCCAUACACAGGGAUAGCCUCGGGAAACCGGGAUUAAAACCUGAUAAUGCGAGAAGUUCACAUGGACAACUCGCCAAAGAUUUAUCGGUAUGGGAUGGGCCUGCGUCUGAUUAGCUAGUUGGUGGGGUAACGGCCUACCAAGGCGACGAUCAGUAGCCGACCUGAGAGGGUAAUCGACCACAUUGGAACUGAGACACGGUCCAAACUCCUACGGGAGGCAGCAGUGGGGAAUAUUGCACAAUGGGCGAAAGCCUGAUGCAGCAACGCCGCGUGAGCGAUGAAGGCCUUUGGGUCGUAAAGCUCUGUCCUUGGGGAAGAAAAAAAUGACGGUACCCUUGGAGGAAGCCCCGGCUAACUACGUGCCAGCAGCCGCGGUAAUACGUAGGGGGCAAGCGUUAUCCGGAAUUAUUGGGCGUAAAGAGUGCGUAGGUGGUUUUGUAAGCGCGGGGUGAAAGGCAAUAGCUCAACUAUUGUAAGCCUUGCGAACUGUAAGACUUGAGUGCAGGAGAGGAAAGCGGAAUUCCUAGUGUAGCGGUGAAAUGCGUAGAUAUUAGGAGGAACACCAGUGGCGAAGGCGGCUUUCUGGACUGUAACUGACACUGAGGCACGAAAGCGUGGGGAGCAAACAGGAUUAGAUACCCUGGUAGUCCACGCCGUAAACGAUGAGCACUAUGUGUCGGGGCCGCAAGGCUUCGGUGCCGCAGUUAACGCAUUAAGUGCUCCGCCUGGGGAGUACGCACGCAAGUGUGAAACUCAAAUGAAUUGACGG